rnacentral:rRNA from 1 species
UACGGAGGGGGCGAGCGUUAUUCGGAAUUAUUGGGCGUAAAGGGCGCGUAGGCGGCUUGACAAGUCAAAGGUGAAAUCCCUCGGCUCAACUGAGGAACUGCCUUUGAAAUUGUCUGGCUUGAGGCCGGGAGGGGGUAGCGGAAUUCCCAGUGUAGCGGUGAAAUGCGUAGAUAUUGGGAGGAACACCAGUGGCGAAGGCGGCUACCUGGACCGGUACUGACGCUGAUGCGCGAAAGCGUGGGUAGCAAACAGG